GUGGGCGUAGCUCAGCUGGUUAGAGCGCCAGGUUGUGGCCCUGGAGGCCGCGGGUUCAAGUCCCGUCGCUCACCCCA
rnacentral:tRNA from 1 species